CACGUAGGGUGCGAGCGUUGUCCGGAAUUAUUGGGCGUAAAGAGCUCGUAGGCGGUGUGUCGCGUCGGCCGUGAAAACCUGCAGCUUAACUGUGGGCUUGCGGUCGAUACGGGCAUCACUGGAGUUCGGCAGGGGAGAAUGGAAUUCCCGGUGUAGCGGUGAAAUGCGCAGAUAUCGGGAGGAACACCGGUGGCGAAGGCGGUUCUUUGGGCCUGACCUGACGCUGAGGAGCGAAAGCGUGGGGAGCGAACAGG
rnacentral:rRNA from 1 species